ACCAGUUACAACUGAAGUAUCUGAUCAUCAAUGAAUUUGAGAAAAAGCCAUUUGUUUUUUAACAGAGCAGCUGCAUAUCAUCAGAUAGGCCUACGGUAUAUGCACUUGUAACUUUUUUUAAUUCCAGAAACUAUCAUUUUCUUAGUUAUACAUUUUUUUUCCAUUAUAUUGUUGUUACAAAAUAGAUAUGUUGACUGUGAUUAGGGAAUGAGAAUAUAAGAGGAUCUGCUAGGCUAAAUUAACAAACUAGGCAUUCAUAGCUCACUGCAUGAUCCUCAAAUCAAACUGUCCAAACUUGUUUCUACAAGUGAAUUCAAAGGCACUCUACAGUAGAAUGAUUGAAUAGCCUAAUAAGGCAUUUUAUUUCAAUUUGAUUUAUUCUAGAUAAAUAUUUUUUGAAGUUCCAUGUAAUACAGCCUAAAUGCAAAAUGUAUAGGCAUGUUGUUGAAGUGUCACGCCUACUCCUGCUCCCUCCGGCGCUCGACUUCACAUCUACUAAUCACCGGUCCUGGCAACCAUCAUUGCGCACACCUGCUCCCCAUCGUUAAGCACACCUGGACUUCAUUACCACCCUGAUUACUCUCCCUUCAUAUAGCCCUCAAUUACUGCCUCAGAAAUUAUGGCAGCAGAAGAUUACACUGUCUUCCAGACUGUCGAGGAACACUGUCAUCUACUCCACCAACACCAUGACCAGCUGGCUCUACUGGGUAUGACCAGGAAGGAGGUUCUCCACCUCCGACACCACUAGCGAGGUUCUCCAUCCCUCUGACUGAGGGCCUCCUGCGGUCGUCACAAGGAGCCAGUCCCCCAGCCGUCCACCCAGGUCAGCGAUGCCCAACUGUCCCUUCUGGAGAAGUUCUAUGGCACUCCAUCAAAAUGCCGUGGCUUCCUACUCCAGUGCUCCCUCUAUUUCGCCUAUCAGACGGGAGCCCCCACCAAGAGGUCCAAGGUUGCCACUGUCAUUUCCCUGCUGAACGGAUGGGCGUUGGAGUGGGCUACGGCCGUCAGAGAGAGGAAAAGCCAGAUUCCUAUGAGAGGUUCAUGGCUCUCUUCAGGGCGGUCUUCGAGGGCAUAGUGGGAGGUGAGCGACUUUUCCAACUGCAGCAGGGUGCCCAGACCGCUGCGGAGUACUCCCUCAUCUUUCAGAUUGUGGCAGCCUCCAGCGGAUGAAAUGAGCCAGUGCACCACACACUAUUCCGCAGUGGACUGCGCAAAGCGGUCCAGACAGAGCUGGCAUGUCAGGAUGACGACAAAUCCUUGGACGCUCUCAUCGCAAUGGCCAGCCGUCUGGAUAACCUUCUUCAGGAGCGCCGGUGUCCAACUGAUGCCUUGCAACAGGCCUACAAGCCCUCAGUCCAGCCUCUCUCCGCCUAUUGUGGACAGUCUGAGCACUGAUGGAGGAAUUGUGCGCUCCUGGUGUAACUUGGGCAGUUGUUGUUGCCAUCCUGUACCUGUCCCGCAGGUGUGAUGUUCGGAUGUACCUAUCCUGUGCAGAUGUUGUUAACGACCGUUCCACAGGUGCAUGUUCAUUAAUUGUUUAUGGUUCAUUGACCAUGCAUGGGAAACAGUGUUUAAACCCUUUACAAUGAAGAUCUGUGAAGUUAUUUGGAUUUUAACGAAUUAUCUUUGAAAGACAGGGUCCUGAGAAAGGGAUGUUUCUUUUUUUGCUGAGUUUAUGUAUAUAUUUCCACAUUGAAGCCAUGCAAUUGCUUAGAACAAUGUUAACUUGAACCUGUUUUCAGUCAACAUUUUUAGCAACUAUGGAAUGGGUCUACAUUUAGUUAUUUCGUUUCUGUAAGCUGUUUAACAAACUAUUACGGACUAACAUUGGACUUGACUCCAAGACAGUACAUAAAAGACUGUAAAUAUACAACUUGAAGCAACCACAUAUUUAGCCAUGGAGAACGUUCUGAUUGGCCAGUGAGGGGCCAAGCCUCAAACCACCCACAACUGGUUUAUUCAUCAAAACCCAGCCCUUUCCUCCACCACCAGCAGUGCUUUGAUAAUUUUGGCUGUGAAAUAGAAAAAAUAUUGCUGACACUCCCACAAACCUAUAGAACUACCACCAGCACUUAGAUUUACCAUUGCAUUAGGUUUGUUAAUCGAUUACAAAUUACAUAACCCUCACCUGGACAAAAUUUUAGAAAUACUAAACCCUCACCCUGACUGAAAUUGAAAAAGCAUGACCCUCCCCUGAUUUCCUCCAGGUAACAAAUGUGUACAUUUUCGAUCACUCCCUUGGGCAGGUAAAUCAGGACAAGGGAAAGAAAGUAUAGCUAGCCUAAAACGUUUUUUUGUUUGUUUUUUUUGACCGAGAUGGUAAAUUAAUAACGCUAGUGUGUAACCAGAAUACACUAAGCGGCACCAAUCUUUGGAUUGGUGGAUACAUCUCAUUAUUGUAAUAUUCUUUAAUUUUCGAUGAAGGUUGUUGUUGUUGACCGCCUGUAUUCAAUGGAGAGAUGCUAUGUUAUGAAUAUGCGAUAUAAAGUGUUUUUUCUCAAAGUU